GGACGGCCAUAACAUCAGUAUAUUGCAUUACAGACAUGGCAAAUAUUGAGACCUAGGUACUGGUACACUUGUUAGAAAUAUGAUGCUAUAUCACUAGGAUUCUUGUAAGUCAAUUCAUUUGCCACACACAAAGCAUCGUGUGUGAUAAAAUAAAGUUUCAAGGUUAUGAAAGAUUCUGAAUUCUAUUACAACAGGAACGCCGAGAAUUCUGUUAGAGAGCUGAAGAAACAUUUCUUGCUGUGACAGAAAGGAUGAACUGUUCAAAUUCAGAGAAGUUUUUAGUUGGUCCAUAUGGUGAGACAUACCCAACACCUCAUGAUGCAGAUCAGACCAUGAAUGUAAAAGCUGAGG